rnacentral:lncRNA from 7 species
GGGACAUUUUCUCUAGGCACAGAGGUACGUCAGCAGCCUAUCCACCUUUGAUUCUUCAUCAAUAAGGGAAUGCAGGAUGCAAAUUGCCACACUCUGAGGCAGCUACCAUGCUGUGGAAGAAAACAUGGUAGUAUUUCACAAACAUUGCUACUCUAAGGUAAAUACCAUCACAAACCCCUGGUUGUGGAUCUUGAAUCUCAACUAAGAGAUAAGGAAGAUGGGCUUCAAUCAAUGAUAAGAGUCUUUUCAGAAGAAUGUACCUAAUUACAACUCUUUCAACUAAAUCAACAAUGCAGUUGGAUAAUUACAGUGUAGCAGAGCUAGAUAAAUCAGAGCCUCUAAAAACAGUACUUUUCAAAUAAGAAAACUGAGACAGUUUCAAGAUACCUCUUACUUAUCAAUUAAAGACUAAGUGUGAAAACCACAGGUUUUCUGGUCUCAGUAAUCAGUCAUCAAACACCACCGUGAAGAAACGGUUGCUGACUGUAGUAGCUGACUGCCCCAAACCAAGGAAUGGAUGGAAGGAGGACAGAAUUCACCAACUCAGAGUUGCAUGCACAUUUUAACAAAUAAAAACUUUUAUCUGGUGUUAUUCCAAGAAUGAGUUUCUAUAAACAUAACAAAAAGUGGAUUUUUCUGCCUGAAGAGGUCAAUAUACUAACUCGAACAGGCAUUUGCCAUCAUUUUUAUUCUCCUUCCAGAAGCCUCACAAGUGGUGGAAAAAGGGAAAAGCCAAAAUAAAACAGUUUGUGCCUC